rnacentral:rRNA from 1 species
AACGAACGCUGGCGGCAUGCCUAACACAUGCAAGUCGAACGAGACCUUCGGGUCUAGUGGCGCACGGGUGCGUAACGCGUGGGAAUCUGCCCUUGGGUUCGGAAUAACAGUUGGAAACGACUGCUAAUACCGGAUGAUGACGUAAGUCCAAAGAUUUAUCGCCCAGGGAUGAGCCCGCGUAGGAUUAGCUAGUUGGUGGGGUAAAGGCCUACCAAGGCGACGAUCCUUAGCUGGUCUGAGAGGAUGAUCAGCCACACUGGGACUGAGACACGGCCCAGACUCCUACGGGAGGCAGCAGUGGGGAAUAUUGGACAAUGGGCGAAAGCCUGAUCCAGCAAUGCCGCGUGAGUGAUGAAGGCCUUAGGGAUGUAAAGCUCUUUUACCCGGGAUGAGAAUGACAGUACCGGGAGAAUAAGCCCCGGCUAACUCCGUG